ACGAUUUCAACUGAAGUAAUGAAGGCAGUGUCGUGCUGUCGAGAGAAAGGUGGAUCCCAACAACAGGAAACUACCUAAAUCACCGACCAGUUCUGGUGCUGCCCGCGCGGGGCUCCCUCGCCCGCCGCCGCCGCUGCCACUGCCGCUGCCGCCACCGCCGCCGCCAAGGAGAGAACCCUGAGAUCAUGCCUGGACCAGCCCCUUGGCAACCUGCGCCCACCGCUGCCACCGAAUGCCUCGGGCUGCCACAAACCSGUCACGGAGGGAGAAGCCACCGGUCCCCCAAAAAGCCAAAGCCAAGCUCUAUUGCCAACCUGCAUGUCUAUGCCUGUAUGCCCUUCUCUUGGCCAAGGAAGAAAGGAAGAAGAAAAAAGAAACCCAGGGGCCUGAAUCCCCUGAUUAAACACAGCCCAGCCCUCCAGGCAAGCGGACCCAGUGGCGGCUCCUUGCACCAUUGACCUCAGGCCAGGCACCUUAGGACCGACAGUGGGACCUGGGUCUUCUGGCUAGGUUGUCUGAGGUGGGCAGGAAAAUAGCUCUAAGGAUGGAAGGAGGAGGAUAGGGGUUAUUUCAAGCAUUGAGACCCCUAGACAGCAAACCAAGCCCAGUCAGGAUUUGACACUUAGGACAAUAUCUAUUUCAAUAGAAUUUAGCGCGAUAUGGCUUUUUCCCCCUGAAAACAAGUAAACCAGCACCAAGCAAACAAAGAAACAAAAAGUCAGAACAAACCAGCCCUGCACAGAUGUAACGGCCCGGGAGAUGGCGAGUGUGGAAGGGUAGAAUGGGGCUCCAACACAGGUGCGAGUUCUGGGGAAGAGGCUGAAGACAGAGGGAGGGGACGGGCGCUCUGGCAG